rnacentral:rRNA from 1 species
AGGAUGAACGCUGGCGGCGUGCCUAAUACAUGCAAGUCGAGCGGUAAGGCCACUUCGGUGGUACACGAGCGGCGGACGGCUGAGUAACACGUAGGAACGUACCCCAAACUGAGGCAUAAGCACCAGAAAUGGUGUCUAAUACCGCAUGUGCUCUUCGGAGUAAAGCUACGGCGGUUUGGGAACGGCCUGCGCAUGAUUAGCUUGUUGGUGAGGUAAUAGCUCACCAAGGCGACGAUCAUUAGCUGGUCUGAGAGGAUGACCAGCCAGACUGGGACUGAGAACGGCCCAGACUCCUACGGGAGGCAGCAGUAGGGAAUUUUCCACAAUGGGCGAAAGCCUGAUGGAGCAACGCCGCGUGCAGGAUGAAGGCCUUCGGGUUGUAAACUGCUUUUAUCUGUGAAGAUUAUGACGGUAGCAGAUGAAUAAGGAUCGGCUAACUCCGCGCCAGCAGCCGCGGU